rnacentral:rRNA from 1 species
AUUUUUACGCUUUUGUGGGGGUUGUGAUAACAGUUUUUCGCUUUUGUGGGGUUGUGAUAAUGGUUUCUGUCGUAAUGUACUCUGUAACUACGAGCAAGAGGUGAUGAUCAUGACUACUUCUUGUUUAUCUCUCGUUCUUGUUAGGUAAGGAAAAAACGAGGCAUGUCGACGUCGUUGCGGGCUCCUCUCGCGUCGAGCAGGGGUUCGUGGCGGGUAGGGGUUCUUGCGGGCCCGGAGGAGCAGCGGCCGCUCGACGCGGAAUAGCGGCCUUUUGGUGGACCGAUCGGCGGGCAACGGGGAGAGAAAGGUAGAAGAGGAGACAAAGAGGGGACAAAGAGGGAGGAGACUAGAGAUAGAGAGGGAGCAAGAACGUCGGCGGCACGGGACGAGGAUGGGCCGUUGUAGCGGCAGCUUCAGGCAGGGGCAGAGAGUCUACCCUAGACCGACGGCUCGAGGAGGUGCGCUUGCCGGAGGAGGCGGGGGCCAGUCUAGACAGCGGCAAAUCGGGCAAACGCUGCCCUAGGUGGCUCCACUCCACGACGUCGGUACCGAGGAGGAGACCGGCUCGUCGUCGUCGUACUCCAAUCCUACCUCCUACCAUCCAGCAUGGCGUAGCGGUAGCGCCUGAAGGGGCCGCCCGGGCCGUGGAAGCUCCGAUGCCGGUUCAAGACGAUGCCCAGCACAGCUCGAGUGCGGGACCUUGCAGCGUGACGACGCCACGCGCUGCCUAACGGACCUCUACUUCCUCCUCGUGUAGUUCCUGUUGGACAGGCGCGCGCGGCUCCGGAUGGAGGACCAAGCCGCGUUGUUGCCGUUGCCGACGGCCUAGGCCGUUCCCCACGGCGGGGGAGGGGGGCAAAACCGGACGACGCGCUCCUCCGCGGGCUGCGACCGACGCAACUGGCGGGGUUGGUCAACGCUCCUACUUGCACCCGACUAACGAAAAAGGAAAAACUAAAUCCCCACAGAGACAUUUUAGACACCUGCUCAAACAUUUUAAUAUAAUUUUAACUGGACCGUGCUUUACAAUGCGGUGCAUCCGUUUUUUCCCGGGGUAGACAGUAUUUGCGCGAAUUGGCUCGGUUUAGGCGGCUAGUCACCAAAAACGUUUUGUUAAUGCGAUCUGCACCACGAAAGACGUCGCUUAGACAUAGGAUCACAAAAAGCGUUUGGAUCGGGAGUUUUACCACCAAAAGACGUUAAAUGAGGACGGAACCACUUCUCUACCCCUGCUCUUCUUCUCUGCUUCUCCUUCCUAGUCUUCUACUUCCCU